CCUACUGCAAUGUUGUGCAUGGGUCCUCAAGAAAUGUCACCUUUAACAGCCUUAUGUGCGAAGGUAAACAACUGUUAUCUGUGCAUCUUGCUUUCUUGCUGGAAUAUUUGUCUAUAAAGAAGAGCAAGGACAUCCAUAAGAUAACACAAGAGCAUGAAUUUUACUGUGAACGCUUGGACAUGACAAAAGCCCACAAAUCACAAGAAAACCUAGAAGAUACUGACAGGGAAAUGGGGAUAUGGAUCAAGAAUGCUGUCAAGAAGUCUUUCAAGAAUGUACCCGAUGUUACCCAGACCUUGAAUAUCAAUAUGUGACAAUGGAUCACCUAAAGAUUUUUCAGAGGUUCAGCAAUUGUUUAGAAAUUACCUUGAAACAAUUGUGAUUGUCACUCAAAAGGAAGCAACAGUCCCAGAAGAAAUGGACGAAAAGUUGAAUACAAUUCUAGACCAAGUGGCCACUCAUCUAAAUAAGAUGAAUUCACUGAUUCACCAAUGUCAUUUUGAAAUCCAAAAAAAUAACACUUCAAAUGGAACAAAAACCUUAUGAGGUUUGCUGUAAGGAUGCAGAGUUGUAUUUGGAGGAAGCAAAGAUCAGAGAAGCCAGUCUCCAACAGGAAUUAGAGCAACUCACCAUCCAGAUUAAUAUCAUGUACUAAGAGGAUAGAGACAAGAAAAGGCACAUACAGGAGGAAACAGAAAAAGUGAUGGAUGAAACUGAAUACAUGUUUAAAUGUUGUGAUAAACAUAUGGAAGCAGAACAGAUGAACAGUGAAUGCAUGUGGAAAAGUUUAUUAUUCUAGAUUUCGUUGAUGAUAUUGAUUUGUUUUACAUGUUGAAGUCUGAUCUAGAGGCACAAGAAAAAACAUUAAGGAAUGAGGAGGGUCUGAUGAAGCUGGAGAGAUUGUUUGCAGUCAUGGAGGUGGAAUACAAUGAAGUUUUGGAGAGGAAGAAAGAGUAGAUGAGAAUUCUUCAGCUCAAGACAAAAGCAGCCAUCGUGCAAGCUUGGUGGAGAGGAUACAGAGUCUGAAAUGCCAUAAUGGAACAAAAGAAAAGAAGGCCAUAAAAGGAAAAGGCAAAGGCAAAAUCAAGUAUGUAUACGAAAUAUGUAAAUAUGUGUUUUUUAUUUUCAACAACAAUA